GAUGAACGCUGGCGGCGUGCCUAAUACAUGCAAGUAGAACGCUGAGGGCGGAGUUUGCUCUUCUGGAUGAGUUGCGCACGGGGGAGUCACGCGUAGAACACCUGCCUGGUAGCGGGGGAAAACUAUUGGAAACGAUAGCAAAUACCGCUUGUCAACAGUUAUUGCACGAUAACUGUUUAAAAGGGGCAACUGCUCCACUACCAGAUGGACCUGAGUUGUAUUGGCUAGUUGGUGGGGUAACGGCUAACCAAGGCGACGAGACAUACCCGGCCUGAGAGGGGGGAGGGCCACACUGGGCAUGGGACACGACCCAGGCUCCAGCGGGAGGCAGCAGUAAGGAGUCGUCGGCAAUGGACGGAAGUCGGACCGAGCAACGCGGCGUGAGUGAUGAAGGAUUACGGAUCGUAAGGCUCUGUCGUAAGAGGAGAGCGAGUGUGAGAGUGGGAAGUACGCGCGGUGACGGUAUUUGACCAGGAAGGGACGGCUAACUACGUG
rnacentral:rRNA from 1 species